GAUGAACGCUGACCGAAUGCUUAACACAUGCAAGUCUUUGGCGAAUCUGUGCUUGCACAGGCUAGCCAAGGCGGACGGGUGAGUAACGCGUAAAGAACUUGCCCUGCAGACAGGGAUAACAGACGGAAACGACUGAUAACACCUGAUACAGUUGCCGGCACGCAUGUGCCUGGCAAUGAAAAGAGAUGCUGCAGGAGAGCUUUGCGUCCUAUUAGCUUGUUGGUGAGGUGACGGCUCACCAAGGCGAUGAUAGGUAGCCGGCCUGAGAGGGUGAACGGCCACAAGGGGACUGAGAUACGGCCCUUACUCCUACGGGAGGCAGCAGGGGGGAAUAUUGGACAAUGGGGGCAACCCUGAUCCAGCAAUUCUGUGUGCACGAAGAAGGUUUUCGGAUUGUAAAGUGCUUUCAGCAGGGAAGAAGAAAGUGACGGUACCUGCAGAAGAAGCGACGGCUAAAUACGUG
rnacentral:rRNA from 1 species